rnacentral:rRNA from 1 species
GAAUUUUGGCCAAUGGGCGAGAGCCUGAUCCAGCAAUGCCGCGUGCAGGAUGAAGGCCUUCGGGUUGUAAACUGCUUCUCUACGGAACGAAAAGCUUUGGGUUAAUACCCUGUAGUCAUGACGCUACCGUAAGAAUAAGCACAGGCUAACUACGUGCCAGCAGCCGCGGUAAUACGUAGGGUGCAAGAGUUAAGCGGAAUUACUGGGCGUAAAGCGGGCGCAGGCGGUUUUGUAAGACAGAGGUGAAAUCCCCGGGCUCAACCUGGGAACUGCCUUUGUGACUGCAAGGCUAGAGGACGGCAGAGGGGGGUGGAAUUCCGCGUGUAGCAGUGAAAUGCGUAGAUAUGCGGAGGAACACCGAUGGCGAAGGCAACCCCCUGGGCCUGUACUGACGCUCAUGCACGAAAGCGUGGGGAGCAAACAG